UACGGAGGGUGCGAGCGUUGUCCGGAAUCACUGGGCGUAAAGGGAGCGUAGGCGGCGUGGUAAGUCAGAUGUGAAAUCCCGGGGCUCAACCCCCGGAACUGCAUCCGAUACUGCCAUGCUUGAGGGUUGGAGAGGUGACUGGAAUUCUCGGUGUAGCAGUGAAAUGCGUGGAUAUCGAGAGGAACACUCGUGGCGAAGGCGAGUCACUGGACAACAUCUGACGCUGAGGCUCGAAGGCUAGGGUAGCGAAAGGG
rnacentral:rRNA from 1 species